rnacentral:rRNA from 1 species
AGUGAACGCUGGCGGUAGGCCUAACACAUGCAAGUCGAACGGCAGCACAGUAAGAGCUUGCUCUUACGGGUGGCGAGAGGCGGACGGGUGAGGAAUACAUCGGAAUCUACUUUUUCGUGGGGGAUCACGUAGGGAAACUUACGCUAAUACCGCAUACGCCCUACGGGUGAAAGCAGUGGAUCUUCUGACCUUGCGCGAUUGGAUGAGCCGAUGUCGGAUUUGCUGGUUGGCGGGGUAAUGGCCCACCAAGGCGACGAUCCGUAGCCGGUCGGAGAGGAUGGUCGGCCGCCCUGGAGCGGAGCCGGGGACCAGACGCCUACGGGAGGCACCAGUGGGGAAUAUUGGACAGUGGGCGCGAGCCUGAUCCAGCCAUACCGCGUGGGUGACGAAGGCCUUCGGGUUGUAAAGCCCUUUUGCUGGGAAAGAAAAGCAGCAGGUUAAGACCCCGCUGUUCUGACGGUACCGAAAGAAUAAGCACCGGCUAACUUCGUG